rnacentral:lncRNA from 1 species
CCUCUCCCGAUCCUCUCCUCCACUUGUCCGAGAGUUGGGCAUUCUCGAUUUCCAUGCCCAAGAGUUAGGCAUCUUCUUCCUUCUAUAUGCAAGAUUUGGAUUGCUGAUUUGAGAGUUCUCUCAUCUUUUUCUUCCUAUUUUGAAGAUUGCUUGCUGGUUUCUUGGUGAAGAAAUAAAAGAAGAGCUUUUCUAGACCUAUCACGUAGAUAUCUGUAG